GGGGUGUUUCUCUUAAAGUGUCCUCUCAAUGUUGUCGCAAUCUGAUAUGGAACAUAAUCGGCAGAUCAGUUGGAGGUGGGAACCUUUAUACCUCUUGGUGCCACAUCUAAUUAGACACUAACAAAGGACUAACAUCGAAUCUACAAAUGAGUAUGGAAAUAUUGAAAGGCAGGAACUGCUGAAUGUUUGAUGAAGAAAGACUGAGAGUGCAACUUUAAAUUGCAUCAAGUUAAGGAACAUAGUCAAAAUUUAUGUGCUCAUUAUAUGUUUAAUAAUUGUAAUUCAUUUCUGGAAUCAAUAAAAUAAU